rnacentral:rRNA from 1 species
GGGUUGUGAGGUUAAGCGACUAAGCGUACACGGUGGAUGCCCUGGCAGUCAGAGGCGAUGAAGGACGUGCUAAUCUGCGAUAAGCGUCGGUAAGGUGAUAUGAACCGUUAUAACCGGCGAUUUCCGAAUGGGGAAACCCAGUGUGUUUCGACACACUAUCAUUAACUGAAUCCAUAGGUUAAUGAGGCGAACCGGGGGAACUGAAACAUCUAAGUACCCCGAGGAAAAGAAAUCAACCGAGAUUCCCCCAGUAGCGGCGAGCGAACGGGGAGGAGCCCAGAGCCUGAAUCAGUGUGUGUGUUAGUGGAAGCGUCUGGAAAGGCGCGCGAUACAGGGUGACAGCCCCGUACACAAAAAUGCACAUAUUGUGAGCUCGAUGAGUAGGGCGGGACACGUGGUAUCCUGUCUGAAUAUGGGGGGACCAUCCUCCAAGGCUAAAUACUCCUGACUGACCGAUAGUGAACCAGUACCGUGAGGGAAAGGCGAAAAGAACCCCGGCGAGGGGAGUGAAAAAGAACCUGAAACCGUGUACGUACAAGCAGUGGGAGCCUCUUUUAUGGGGUGACUGCGUACCUUUUGUAUAAUGGGUCAGCGACUUAUAUUCUGUAGCAAGGUUAACCGAAUAGGGGAGCCGAAGGGAAACCGAGUCUUAACUGGGCGUUAAGUUGCAGGGUAUAGACCCGAAACCCGGUGAUCUAGCCAUGGGCAGGUUGAAGGUUGGGUAACACUAACUGGAGGACCGAACCGACUAAUGUUGAAAAAUUAGCGGAUGACUUGUGGCUGGGGGUGAAAGGCCAAUCAAACCGGGAGAUAGCUGGUUCUCCCCGAAAGCUAUUUAGGUAGCGCCUCGUGAAUUCAUCUCCGGGGGUAGAGCACUGUUUCGGCAAGGGGGUCAUCCCGACUUACCAACCCGAUGCAAACUGCGAAUACCGGAGAAUGUUAUCACGGGAGACACACGGCGGGUGCUAACGUCCGUCGUGAAGAGGGAAACAACCCAGACCGCCAGCUAAGGUCCCAAAGUCAUGGUUAAGUGGGAAACGAUGUGGGAAGGCCCAGACAGCCAGGAUGUUGGCUUAGAAGCAGCCAUCAUUUAAAGAAAGCGUAAUAGCUCACUGGUCGAGUCGGCCUGCGCGGAAGAUGUAACGGGGCUAAACCAUGCACCGAAGCUGCGGCAGCGACACUAUGUGUUGUUGGGUAGGGGAGCGUUCUGUAAGCCUGUGAAGGUGUGCUGUGAGGCAUGCUGGAGGUAUCAGAAGUGCGAAUGCUGACAUAAGUAACGAUAAAGCGGGUGAAAAGCCCGCUCGCCGGAAGACCAAGGGUUCCUGUCCAACGUUAAUCGGGGCAGGGUGAGUCGACCCCUAAGGCGAGGCCGAAAGGCGUAGUCGAUGGGAAACAGGUUAAUAUUCCUGUACUUGGUGUUACUGCGAAGGGGGGACGGAGAAGGCUAUGUUGGCCGGGCGACGGUUGUCCCGGUUUAAGCGUGUAGGCUGGUUUUCCAGGCAAAUCCGGAAAAUCAAGGCUGAGGCGUGAUGACGAGGCACUACGGUGCUGAAGCAACAAAUGCCCUGCUUCCAGGAAAAGCCUCUAAGCAUCAGGUAACAUCAAAUCGUACCCCAAACCGACACAGGUGGUCAGGUAGAGAAUACCAAGGCGCUUGAGAGAACUCGGGUGAAGGAACUAGGCAAAAUGGUGCCGUAACUUCGGGAGAAGGCACGCUGAUAUGUAGGUGAAGUCCCUCGCGGAUGGAGCUGAAAUCAGUCGAAGAUACCAGCUGGCUGCAACUGUUUAUUAAAAACACAGCACUGUGCAAACACGAAAGUGGACGUAUACGGUGUGACGCCUGCCCGGUGCCGGAAGGUUAAUUGAUGGGGUCAGCGCAAGCGAAGCUCUUGAUCGAAGCCCCGGUAAACGGCGGCCGUAACUAUAACGGUCCUAAGGUAGCGAAAUUCCUUGUCGGGUAAGUUCCGACCUGCACGAAUGGCGUAAUGAUGGCCAGGCUGUCUCCACCCGAGACUCAGUGAAAUUGAACUCGCUGUGAAGAUGCAGUGUACCCGCGGCAAGACGGAAAGACCCCGUGAACCUUUACUAUAGCUUGACACUGAACAUUGAGCCUUGAUGUGUAGGAUAGGUGGGAGGCUUAGAAGUGUGGACGCCAGUCUGCAUGGAGCCGACCUUGAAAUACCACCCUUUAAUGUUUGAUGUUCUAACGUUGACCCGUGAUCCGGGUUGCGGACAGUGUCUGGUGGGUAGUUUGACUGGGGCGGUCUCCUCCUAAAGAGUAACGGAGGAGCACGAAGGUUGGCUAAUCCUGGUCGGACAUCAGGAGGUUAGUGCAAUGGCAUAAGCCAGCUUGACUGCGAGCGUGACGGCGCGAGCAGGUGCGAAAGCAGGUCAUAGUGAUCCGGUGGUUCUGAAUGGAAGGGCCAUCGCUCAACGGAUAAAAGGUACUCCGGGGAUAACAGGCUGAUACCGCCCAAGAGUUCAUAUCGACGGCGGUGUUUGGCACCUCGAUGUCGGCUCAUCACAUCCUGGGGCUGAAGUAGGUCCCAAGGGUAUGGCUGUUCGCCAUUUAAAGUGGUACGCGAGCUGGGUUUAGAACGUCGUGAGACAGUUCGGUCCCUAUCUGCCGUGGGCGCUGGAGAACUGAGGGGGGCUGCUCCUAGUACGAGAGGACCGGAGUGGACGCAUCACUGGUGUUCGGGUUGUCAUGCCAAUGGCACUGCCCGGUAGCUAAAUGCGGAAGAGAUAAGUGCUGAAAGCAUCUAAGCACGAAACUUGCCCCGAGAUGAGUUCUCCCUGACUCCUUGAGAGUCCUGAAGGAACGUUGAAGACGACGACGUUGAUAGGCCGGGUGUGUAAGCGCAGCGAUGCGUUGAGCUAACCGGUACUAAUGAACCGUGAGGCUUAACCUUACAACGCCGAAG